rnacentral:rRNA from 1 species
AUAGAUACCCUGGUAGUCCACGCCGUAAACGAUGAGUGCUAAGUGUUAGAGGGUUUCCGCCCUUUAGUGCUGCAGCUAACGCAUUAAGCACUCCGCCUGGGGAGUACGGCCGCAAGGCUGAAACUCAAAGGAAUUGACGGGGGGCCCGCACAAGCGGUGGAGCAUGUGGUUUAAUUCGAAGCAACGCGAAGAACCUUACCAGGUCUUGACAUCCUCUGCCAACCCUAGAGAUAGGGCGUUCCCCUUCGGGGGACAGAGUGACAGGUGGUGCAUGGUUGUCGUCAGCUCGUGUCGUGAGAUGUUGGGUUAAGUCCCGCAACGAGCGCAACCCUUGAUCUUAGUUGCCAGCAUUCAGUUGGGCACUCUAAGGUGACUGCCGGUGACGAACCGGAGGAAGGUGGGGAUGACGUCAAAUCAUCAUGCCCCUUAUGGCCUGGGCUACACACGUGCUACAAUGGAUGGUACAAAGAGCUGCGAACCCGCGAGGGUAAGCGAAUCUCAUAAAGCCAUUCUCAGUUCGGAUUGU